rnacentral:rRNA from 1 species
UACGUAGGCAGCGAGCGUUGUUCGGAAUUACUGGGCGUAAAGAGUGUGUAGGCGGUGUUCCAAGUCUGGUGUGAAAUCUCCCGGCUCAACUGGGAGGGUGCGCCGGAAACUGGAAUGCUAGAGGGUGGGAGAGGUAAGCGGAAUUCCUGGUGUAGCGGUGAAAUGCGUAGAUAUCAGGAGGAACACCUGUGGUGUAGACAGCUUACUGGACCACUUCUGACGCUGAGACACGAAAAGCGUGGGUAGCAAACAGG